UGGCCUACCACAAGACAAAUUCGAAGC
rnacentral:piRNA from 1 species